CAUACGGGAAACAAAUACACAAGGAAUGCCACAAACCCUAUAAGGGGUCCGUAAUGUCACCUCAGCAGUCAUGUAGCUCUUGAAGGCCAUGUAAUAACGUCAUUCUUCUUUUUUCUCCCUAGACAGGAUCCAGGUGGCCAUGGGAAGGGUGGUGAUACCUCUGCAAGCUGAAACGCAAUUUGGACGUCAUGUGAAUCUAUGUUUCUCAAGUAUCAAAAGAGAACAGGAUCCAGGUGGCCAUGGGAAGGGUGGUGAUACCUCUGCAAGCUGAAACGCA